AACUUAUGAAGGGGGCAUGAACGUAACAAUUCCUUGAGGCGGUCAAAUGCAUCAUGAAAUUCCUCAUUGGGUUUUUUGUAAAAUCAUGAAUUACCUUUUUUAUUGUU